rnacentral:rRNA from 1 species
GACGAACGCUGGCGGCGUGCUUAACACAUGCAAGUCGAACGGAAAGGCCCUGCUUUUGUGGGGUGCUCGAGUGGCGAACGGGUGAGUAACACGUGAGUAACCUGCCCUUGACUUUGGGAUAACUUCAGGAAACUGGGGCUAAUACCGGAUAGGAGCUCCUGCUGCAUGGUGGGGGUUGGAAAGCUUCGGCGGUUGGGGAUGGACUCGCGGCUUAUCAGCUUGUUGGUGGGGUAGUGGCUUACCAAGGCUUUGACGGGUAGCCGGCCUGAGAGGGUGACCGGCCACAUUGGGACUGAGAUACGGCCCAGACUCCUACGGGAGGCAGCAGUGGGGAAUAUUGCACAAUGGGCGGAAGCCUGAUGCAGCAACGCCGCGUGCGGGAUGACGGCCUUCGGGUUGUAAACCGCUUUCGCCUGUGACGAAGCGUGAGUGACGGUAAUGGGUAAAGAAGCACCGGCUAACUACGUGCCAGCAGCCGCGGUGAUACGUAGGGUGCGAGCGUUGUCCGGAUUUAUUGGGCGUAAAGGGCUCGUAGGUGGUUGAUCGCGUCGGAAGUGUAAUCUUGGGGCUUAACCCUGAGCGUGCUUUCGAUACGGGUUGACUUGAGGAAGGUAGGGGAGAAUGGAAUUCCUGGUGGAGCGGUGGAAUGCGCAGAUAUCAGGAGGAACACCAGUGGCGAAGGCGGUUCUCUGGGCCUUUCCUGACGCUGAGGAGCGAAAGCGUGGGGAGCGAACAGGCUUAGAUACCCUGGUAGUCCACGCUGUAAACGGUGGGUACUAGGUGUGGGGUCCAUUCCACGGGUUCCGUGCCGUAGCUAACGCUUUAAGUACCCCGCCUGGGGAGUACGGCCGCAAGGCUAAAACUCAAAGGAAUUGACGGGGCCCCGCACAAGCGGCGGAGCAUGCGGAUUAAUUCGAUGCAACGCGUAGAACCUUACCUGGGUUUGACAUGGAUCGGGAGUGCUCAGAGAUGGGUGUGCCUCUUUUGGGGUCGGUUCACAGGUGGUGCAUGCCUGUCGUCAGCUCGUGUCGUGAGAUGUUGGGUUAAGUCCCGCAACGAGCGCAACCCUUGUUCACUGUUGCCAGCACGUUAUGGUGGGGACUCAGUGGAGACCACCGGGGUCAACUCGGAGGAAGGUGGGGAUGACGUCAAGUCCUCAUGCCCCUUAUGUCCAGGGCUUCACGCAUGCUACAAUGGCUGGUACAGAGAGUGGCGAGCCUGUGAGGGUGAGCGAAUCUCGGAAAGCCGGUCUCAGUUCGGAUUGGGGUCUGCAACUCGACCUCAUGAAGUCGGAGUCGCUAGUAAUCGCAGAUCAGCAACGCUGCGGUGAAUACGUUCCCGGG